UACGUAGGGUGCAAGCGUUAAUCGGAAUUACUGGGCGUAAAGCGUGCGCAGGCGGCUUUGCAAGACAGAUGUGAAAUCCCCGGGCUUAACCUGGGAACUGCAUUUGAGACUGCAUGGCUGGAGUGCGGCAGAGGGGGAUGGAAUUCCGCGUGUAGCAGUGAAAUGCGUAGAUAUGCGGAGGAACACCGAUGGCGAAGGCAAUCCCCUGGGCCUGCACUGACGCUCAUGCACGAAAGCGUGGGGAGCAAACAGG
rnacentral:rRNA from 1 species